rnacentral:antisense_RNA from 1 species
CUUCACCGAACCGAGGUGGAGGGGCCGGUCCGCCGGGCGGUUCUCGCCGUACGCCGCGAUCAGGGCCUGCGCCUC